rnacentral:ncRNA from 2 species
GGCGGGCCUUGUGGCGCUUUGUGACCGGAUUGCGGGCCACGUUAAACAAACCGCUAAAAGGUGAAGGGCUCUGACCC